AUGAACGCUAGCUACAGGCUUAACACAUGCAAGUCGAGGGGCAGCAUUUUAGUUUGCUUGCAAACUAAAGAUGGCGACCGGCGCACGGGUGAGUAACACGUAUCCAACCUGCCGAUAACUCGGGGAUAGCCUUUCGAAAGAAAGAUUAAUAUCCGAUAGUAUAUUAAAACCGCAUGGUUUUACUAUUAAAGAAUUUCGGUUAUCGAUGGGGAUGCGUUCCAUUAGUUUGUUGGCGGGGUAACGGCCCACCAAGACUACGAUGGAUAGGGGUUCUGAGAGGAAGGUCCCCCACAUUGGAACUGAGACACGGUCCAAACUCCUACGGGAGGCAGCAGUGAGGAAUAUUGGUCAAUGGACGAGAGUCUGAACCAGCCAAGUAGCGUGAAGGAUGACUGCCCUAUGGGUUGUAAACUUCUUUUAUAUGGGAAUAAAGUAUUCCACGUGUGGGAUUUUGUAUGUACCAUAUGAAUAAGGAUCGGCUAACUCCGUGCCAGCAGCCGCGGUAAUACGGAGGAUCCGAGCGUUAUCCGGAUUUAUUGGGUUUAAAGGGAGCGUAGGUGGAUUGUUAAGUCAGUUGUGAAAGUUUGCGGCUCAACCGUAAAAUUGCAGUUGAAACUGGCAGUCUUGAGUACAGUAGAGGUGGGCGGAAUUCGUGGUGUAGCGGUGAAAUGCUUAGAUAUCACGAAGAACUCCGAUUGCGAAGGCAGCUCACUAGACUGCAACUGACACUGAUGCUCGAAAGUGUGGGUAUCAAACAGGAUUAGAUACCCUGGUAGUCCACACAGUAAACGAUGAAUACUCGCUGUUUGCGAUAUACAGUAAGCGGCCAAGCGAAAGCAUUAAGUAUUCCACCUGGGGAGUACGCCGGCAACGGUGAAACUCAAAGGAAUUGACGGGGGCCCGCACAAGCGGAGGAACAUGUGGUUUAAUUCGAUGAUACGCGAGGAACCUUACCCGGGCUUAAAUUGCAUUUGAAUAAUCUGGAAACAGGUUAGCCGCAAGGCAAAUGUGAAGGUGCUGCAUGGUUGUCGUCAGCUCGUGUCGUGAGAUGUUGGGUUAAGUCCCGCAACGAGCGCAACCCUUAUCCUUAGUAGCCAGCAGUUCGGCUGGGCACUCUAGGGAGACUGCCAGGGAUAACCUGGAGGAAGGUGGGGAUGACGUCAAAUCAGCACGGCCCUUACGUCCGGGGCUACACACGUGUUACAAUGGGGGGUACAGAAGGCAGCUACCUGGCGACAGGAUGCUAAUCCCAAAAACCUCUCUCAGUUCGGAUCGAAGUCUGCAACCCGACUUCGUGAAGCUGGAUUCUCUAGUAAUCGCGCAUCAGCCAUGGCGCGGUGAAUACGUUCCCGGGCCUUGUACACACCGCCCGUCACACCAUGAGAGUUGGGAAUACCCGAAGCCUGUGAGCUAACUGUAAAGAGGCAGCAGUCGAAGGUAGAAUCAAUGAUUGGGGUG
rnacentral:rRNA from 1 species